rnacentral:rRNA from 1 species
UGAGGAAUAUUGGUCAAUGGACGCAAGUCUGAACCAGCCAUGCCGCGUGCAGGAAGACGGCUCUAUGAGUUGUAAACUGCUUUUGUACGAGGGUAAACGCAGAUACGCGUAUCUGUCUGAAAGUAUCGUACGAAUAAGGAUCGGCUAACUCCGUGCCAGCAGCCGCGGUAAUACGGAGGAUUCAAGCGUUAUCCGGAUUUAUUGGGUUUAAAGGGUGCGUAGGCGGUCGGAUAAGUUAGAGGUGAAAUCCCGAGGCUCAACUUCGGAAUUGCCUCUGAUACUGUUCGGCUAGAGAGUAGUUGCGGUAGGCGGAAUGUAUGGUGUAGCGGUGAAAUGCUUAGAGAUCAUACAGAACACCGAUUGCGAAGGCAGCUUACCAAGCUACUUCUGACGUUGAGGCACGAAAGCGUGGGGAGCAAACAGG